UGUCCUUUUGUAGUGUAAACAAACAUUUCUACCGUUUCGCUAAACUUUAAUAUUAUGUUUUUUUUGUCCUUGGGUUACUGACAAUGUAUCUGAACAGCUAACGUUUGCGCGUUCCACUCUGUCUUUGUGUUUUAGGUCAUCAGCUAUGCUGUUUAGUGGAAUCGGCAUUAGUCACCAAAACAAUUUCAGCAGACUGCGUGACAGAACAGCAUCCCGUAAGUAAAUGAGCGAGACAGCAUUUACAUUGACACUUUAUUAAACAAGUACAAUGUGAGAGGAUGAGAAACACGGUGGUGAAUUAUAGUUUCAUACAGUUUACAGCAAUGGAGAGACACCCAGAUAGAGAGGAGGACUGAGAAGGUGUACAAGACAGAUGUCAAUCUGAAAAGAGAGAGAUCACAAACAUUUGUGGUAGAGGCAGAGAGAGAA